AUACAGAGGGUGCGAGCGUUAAUCGGAAUUACUGGGCGUAAAGCGCGCGUAGGCGGCUUCGCAAGUCGGGUGUGAAAUCCCCAGGCUUAACCUGGGAACUGCAUUCGAGACUGCGUUGCUAGAGUAUGGGAGAGGGAAGUGGAAUUUCCGGUGUAGCGGUGAAAUGCGUAGAUAUCGGAAGGAACAUCAGUGGCGAAAGCGACUUCCUGGACCAAUACUGACGCUCAUGUGCGAAAGCGUGGGGAGCAAACAGGAUUAGAUACCCUGGUAGUCCACGCCAUAAACGAUGAGAACUGGAUGUCGGGAGGGUCUGCCUCUCGGUGUCGUAGCUAACGCGUUAAGUUCUCCGCCUGGGGAGUACGGCCGCAAGGUUGAA
rnacentral:rRNA from 1 species